rnacentral:siRNA from 1 species
UGUGUAACAUCCCCUUGGAUCA